CACGUAGGGGGCGAGCGUUGUCCGGAUUUAUUGGGCGUAAAGAGCUCGUAGGCGGCUCGGUAAGUCAGGUGUGAAAACUCUAGGCUCAACCUAGAGACGCCACCUGAUACUGCUGUGGCUAGAGUCCGGUAGGGGAGCAUGGAAUUCCUGGUGUAGCGGUGAAAUGCGCAGAUAUCAGGAGGAACACCAGUGGCGAAGGCGGUGCUCUGGGCCGGAACUGGACGCUGAGGAGCGAAAGCGUGGGGAGCAAACAGG
rnacentral:rRNA from 1 species